rnacentral:sRNA from 1 species
GCUAAUCUAUCGCCGCUGCUAAGCUAUCCCUCACUGCUAAGCUAUCCCUCGCUGCUAAGCUAUCGCCGCUGCCAACCUAUCUAUUGCUGCAAGCUAUCCCUCACUGCUAAGCUAUCCCUUGCUGCUAAGCUAUCGCCGCUGCCAACCUAUCUAUUGCUGCAAGCUAUUCCUCGCUGCUAAGCUAUCGCUGCCAACCUAUCUAUCGCUGCCAACCUAUCUAUCGCUGCCAAUUUAUCUACCACUGCCAAUCUAUCUAUUGCUGCUAAUCUAUCGCUGCUGUCAAUCUAUCUAUCGCUGCUAAUCUAUCUAUCGCUGCUAAUCUAUCGCCGCUGCCAAUCUAUCCCUCGCUGCUAAGCUAUCCCUCGCUGCUAAGCUAUCCCUCACUGCUAAGCUAUCCCUCGCUGCUAAGCUAUCCCUCACUACUAAGCUAUCUAUCACUGCUAAUCUAUCGCUGCUAAUCUAUCGCUGCCAACCUAUCUACCGCGGUGAAUCUAUCUAUCGCUGCCAAUUUAUCUACCACUGCCAAUCUAUCUAUUGCUGCCAAUCUAUUGCUGCUAAUCUAUCGCUGCUAAUCUAUCGCUGCUGCCAAUCUAUCUUUCGCUGCUAAUCUAUCGCCGCUGCCAAUCUAUCCCUCGCUGCUAAGCUAUCCCUCGCUGCUAAGCUAUCCCUCACUGCUAAGCUAUCCCUCGCUGCUAAGCUAUCCCUCACUACUAAGCUAUCUAUCACUGCUAAUCUAUCGCUGCCAACCUAUCUAUCACUGCCAAUCUAUCUAUCGCUGCUAAUCUAUCGCUGCUAAUCUAUCGCUGCCAAUCUAUCUACCGCGGCGAAUCUAUCUAUCACUAUCAUUACUAGUUCAAAAUAGAACUAGAGCAUAAAUACACUAAACUUCUUUUGAUAGGUAAUGAUUUUUGGUAACACUCAUAGCAUUAUAUCAUCUAUAUAGGGUAAAUCAUGGUCCCAUUUGGUCCCAUUUUAACAAAAUGGGACCAAAUGGGACCAGAAUCAGUAAUUUAUAAGAAGAACAUGACCUGGGACUAGAUUUAUAAUAUAAACAGUGUAAAGUGACUAAUUUAAUAAACACUAUAUGGGACCAGGACUAAGAAAUUUGAUAAUGGGACUGGAGAAAUAUUUAGUCCCAGUCCCAUGCAUGGUCACACGGCCAGUCUAGAAAC